rnacentral:rRNA from 1 species
GUUAAGCGACUAAGCGUACACGGUGGAUGCCCUGGCAGUCAGAGGCGAUGAAGGACGUGCUAAUCUGCGAUAAGCGUCGGUAAGGUGAUAUGAACCGUUAUAACCGGCGAUUUCCGAAUGGGGAAACCCAGUGUGUUUCGACACACUAUCAUUAACUGAAUCCAUAGGUUAAUGAGGCGAACCGGGGGAACUGAAACAUCUAAGUACCCCGAGGAAAAGAAAUCAACCGAGAUUCCCCCAGUAGCGGCGAGCGAACGGGGAGCAGCCCAGAGCCUGAAUCAGUGUGUGUGUUAGUGGAAGCGUCUGGAAAGGCGCGCGAUACAGGGUGACAGCCCCGUACACAAAAAUGCACAUGCUGUGAGCUCGAUGAGUAGGGCGGGACACGUGGUAUCCUGUCUGAAUAUGGGGGGACCAUCCUCCAAGGCUAAAUACUCCUGACUGACCGAUAGUGAACCAGUACCGUGAGGGAAAGGCGAAAAGAACCCCGGCGAGGGGAGUGAAAAAGAACCUGAAACCGUGUACGUACAAGCAGUGGGAGCACGCUUAGGCGUGUGACUGCGUACCUUUUGUAUAAUGGGUCAGCGACUUAUAUUCUGUAGCAAGGUUAACCGAAUAGGGGAGCCGAAGGGAAACCGAGUCUUAACUGGGCGUUAAGUUGCAGGGUAUAGACCCGAAACCCGGUGAUCUAGCCAUGGGCAGGUUGAAGGUUGGGUAACACUAACUGGAGGACCGAACCGACUAAUGUUGAAAAAUUAGCGGAUGACUUGUGGCUGGGGGUGAAAGGCCAAUCAAACCGGGAGAUAGCUGGUUCUCCCCGAAAGCUAUUUAGGUAGCGCCUCGUGAAUUCAUCUCCGGGGGUAGAGCACUGUUUCGGCAAGGGGGUCAUCCCGACUUACCAACCCGAUGCAAACUGCGAAUACCGGAGAAUGUUACCACGGGAGACACACGGCGGGUGCUAACGUCCGUCGUGAAGAGGGAAACAACCCAGACCGCCAGCUAAGGUCCCAAAGUCAUGGUUAAGUGGGAAACGAUGUGGGAAGGCCCAGACAGCCAGGAUGUUGGCUUAGAAGCAGCCAUCAUUUAAAGAAAGCGUAAUAGCUCACUGGUCGAGUCGGCCUGCGCGGAAGAUGUAACGGGGCUAAACCAUGCACCGAAGCUGCGGCAGCGACGCUUAUGCGUUGUUGGGUAGGGGAGCGUUCUGUAAGCCUGUGAAGGUGUGCUGUGAGGCAUGCUGGAGGUAUCAGAAGUGCGAAUGCUGACAUAAGUAACGAUAAAGCGGGUGAAAAGCCCGCUCGCCGGAAGACCAAGGGUUCCUGUCCAACGUUAAUCGGGGCAGGGUGAGUCGACCCCUAAGGCGAGGCCGAAAGGCGUAGUCGAUGGGAAACAGGUUAAUAUUCCUGUACUUGGUGUUACUGCGAAGGGGGGACGGAGAAGGCUAUGUUGACCGGGCGACGGUUGUCCCGGUUUAAGCGUGUAGGCUGGUUUUCCAGGCAAAUCCGGAAAAUCAAGGCUGAGGCGUGAUGACGAGGCACUACGGUGCUGAAGCAACAAAUGCCCUGCUUCCAGGAAAAGCCUCUAAGCAUCAGGUAACAUCAAAUCGUACCCCAAACCGACACAGGUGGUCAGGUAGAGAAUACCAAGGCGCUUGAGAGAACUCGGGUGAAGGAACUAGGCAAAAUGGUGCCGUAACUUCGGGAGAAGGCACGCUGAUAUGUAGGUGAAGUCCCUCGCGGAUGGAGCUGAAAUCAGUCGAAGAUACCAGCUGGCUGCAACUGUUUAUUAAAAACACAGCACUGUGCAAACACGAAAGUGGACGUAUACGGUGUGACGCCUGCCCGGUGCCGGAAGGUUAAUUGAUGGGGUCAGCGCAAGCGAAGCUCUUGAUCGAAGCCCCGGUAAACGGCGGCCGUAACUAUAACGGUCCUAAGGUAGCGAAAUUCCUUGUCGGGUAAGUUCCGACCUGCACGAAUGGCGUAAUGAUGGCCAGGCUGUCUCCACCCGAGACUCAGUGAAAUUGAACUCGCUGUGAAGAUGCAGUGUACCCGCGGCAAGACGGAAAGACCCCGUGAACCUUUACUAUAGCUUGACACUGAACAUUGAGCCUUGAUGUGUAGGAUAGGUGGGAGGCUUAGAAGUGUGGACGCCAGUCUGCAUGGAGCCGACCUUGAAAUACCACCCUUUAAUGUUUGAUGUUCUAACGUUGACCCGUAAUCCGGGUUGCGGACAGUGUCUGGUGGGUAGUUUGACUGGGGCGGUCUCCUCCUAAAGAGUAACGGAGGAGCACGAAGGUUGGCUAAUCCUGGUCGGACAUCAGGAGGUUAGUGCAAUGGCAUAAGCCAGCUUGACUGCGAGCGUGACGGCGCGAGCAGGUGCGAAAGCAGGUCAUAGUGAUCCGGUGGUUCUGAAUGGAAGGGCCAUCGCUCAACGGAUAAAAGGUACUCCGGGGAUAACAGGCUGAUACCGCCCAAGAGUUCAUAUCGACGGCGGUGUUUGGCACCUCGAUGUCGGCUCAUCACAUCCUGGGGCUGAAGUAGGUCCCAAGGGUAUGGCUGUUCGCCAUUUAAAGUGGUACGCGAGCUGGGUUUAGAACGUCGUGAGACAGUUCGGUCCCUAUCUGCCGUGGGCGCUGGAGAACUGAGGGGGGCUGCUCCUAGUACGAGAGGACCGGAGUGGACGCAUCACUGGUGUUCGGGUUGUCAUGCCAAUGGCACUGCCCGGUAGCUAAAUGCGGAAGAGAUAAGUGCUGAAAGCAUCUAAGCACGAAACUUGCC